AGAGUUUGAUCCUGGCUCAGGAUGAACGCUGGCGGCGUGCUUAACACAUGCAAGUCGAACGGAAAGGCCUCUGCUUGCAGGGGUACUCGAGUGGCGAACGGGUGAGUAACACGUGGGUGAUCUGCCUUGUACUUCGGGAUAAGCCUGGGAAACUGGGUCUAAUACCGGAUAGGACCAAUCUUUAGUGUGGUUGGUGGUGAAGUGCCCCGGGUUUUGUUCCUAGGCGUUUGCCUUGAUUUCUAUUAUUGCUUGCGGCGGGUGCUGGUCCCAAAAUUCGGUUUCCACUUCAGCUGGCGUGCGGUAGCCCAAGCUUUGGUGAAGCCUCGUCUCGUUCCACCAUGACACCCACUCAAACGUCGCGAUUUCCACCUCGACAACCUCAUCCCACCUGCGAGUAUGGAUCAGCUCGUUUUUGUAGGAACCAUUAACGUUUUCCGCCAGAGCAUUGUCAUAGGAGUCGCCAACAGUUCCGGUGGAAGCGGCAAUCCCGUGCUGGGCAAGACGCUCGUUGUAGACAACGCUGACAUACUGCGAGCCGUGAUCCGAAUGAUGAAUGAGACCUGUUGUUUCCUCAGCAGACGCGAUCGCCUGGUUGAGAGCUUGCAGCGGCAACGCUUCGGUGCGCAUGGAAUCUGAUAACGCCCACCCAACGAUCCGUCGGGAGUAAACAUCGGUGACAAACGCGGCAUACACAAAGCCUUUCUUCGUGCGCACGUAGGUAAUAUCAGCCACCCACAGCUUGUUCGGGCCUUCGGCUUUGAAUUCUCGCUCCACCAAGUCCGGGCGCAAAUCCGGCCUUUGAGGUGUGCGAGUGGUCAUAGGCGAGCGGCCUUUGCCUUUGCCUGAUACACCGGCUAGACGCAUCAGCCGCGCGGUUUGUUCACGACCGAUAUCGAUUCCGUCACGAUGAAGAGCAUGCCACAUUUUCCGCACACCGUAGAUGCCGUAAUUAUCCCGAUGGAUAGCACUAAUGCGUUCAACCAGCACAGCAUCACGAAGGCCGCGAGCACUUACCCCACGGGCCUUGGACUGACGAUACCCACGCGAGGUGAUGAACCCACCAGCGCGGUUUUUCUUCAACGUCUUACAGAUGAACUCGACAGAGAAACGAUUCCGGUAUUCAUCGAUGAACCGGAUCAUUUCCGACGUUUUGGGUCGAGUUCCGACGCGAAAAAAGCUGAGGCAGCCUUUAAAAGUUCAUUGGUGUCGCGUAGCUCUUGAUUUUCACGGCGAAGCCUCGCGUUUUCGGCGGCCAGAUCUUCAGGCACGGGUUCUGGGAUGUUUCCCGCACGGCGGGCCUGUUGGGUCCAUUGACGGGCUGUGUGCCAUGACACCCCCAGCUUUGGGGCUACUGCCUGGCACGCGGCUUGCAUCGACAUAUUUUCCGCCAAGAUGCGGUCCUCUACAAGACGGACCACACGAUCCUUCGCAUCCUGGUCAAAUUUUCUUGGCAUAUUCCAGAUUUCCCAUCUACUCAAACGGAACAAAACCUGGGACACUUCAGUGGAAAGUUUUUCGGUACGAGAUGAGCCCGCGGCCUAUCAGCUUGUUGGUGGGGUAAUGGCCUACCAAGGCGACGACGGGUAGCCGGCCUGAGAGGGUGUACGGCCACAUUGGGACUGAGACACGGCCCAGACUCCUACGGGAGGCAGCAGUGGGGAAUAUUGCACAAUGGGCGGAAGCCUGAUGCAGCGACGCCGCGUGAGGGAUGACGGCCUUCGGGUUGUAAACCUCUUUCGCUAGGGAAGAAGCCUUUUUGGUGACGGUACCUGGAUAAGAAGCACCGGCUAACUACGUGCCAGCAGCCGCGGUAAUACGUAGGGUGCAAGCGUUGUCCGGAAUUACUGGGCGUAAAGAGCUCGUAGGUGGUUUGUCGCGUCGUUAGUGAAAGCCCGGGGCUUAACUCCGGGUCUGCUGGCGAUACGGGCAUAACUUGAGUGCUGUAGGGGAGACUGGAAUUCCUGGUGUAGCGGUGGAAUGCGCAGAUAUCAGGAGGAACACCGAUGGCGAAGGCAGGUCUCUGGGCAGUAACUGACGCUGAGGAGCGAAAGCAUGGGUAGCGAACAGGAUUAGAUACCCUGGUAGUCCAUGCCGUAAACGGUGGGCGCUAGGUGUGGGGGUUUUUCACGACUUCCGUGCCGUAGCUAACGCAUUAAGCGCCCCGCCUGGGGAGUACGGCCGCAAGGCUAAAACUCAAAGGAAUUGACGGGGGCCCGCACAAGCGGCGGAGCAUGUGGAUUAAUUCGAUGCAACGCGAAGAACCUUACCUGGGCUUGACAUAUACGGGAUCGGCGUAGAGAUACGUUUUCCCUUGUGGCUCGUAUACAGGUGGUGCAUGGUUGUCGUCAGCUCGUGUCGUGAGAUGUUGGGUUAAGUCCCGCAACGAGCGCAACCCUUGUCUUGUGUUGCCAGCACGUUAUGGUGGGGACUCGCGAGAGACUGCCGGGGUUAACUCGGAGGAAGGUGGGGAUGACGUCAAAUCAUCAUGCCCCUUAUGUCCAGGGCUUCACACAUGCUACAAUGGUCGGUACAGUGGGUUGCGAUGCCGUGAGGUGGAGCUAAUCCCUUAAAGCCGGUCUCAGUUCGGAUUGGAGUCUGCAACUCGACUCCAUGAAGUCGGAGUCGCUAGUAAUCGCAGAUCAGCAACGCUGCGGUGAAUACGUUCCCGGGCCUUGUACACACCGCCCGUCACGUCAUGAAAGUUGGUAACACCCGAAGCCAGUGGCCCAAACUCGUUAGGGAGCUGUCGAAGGUGGGAUCGGCGAUUGGGACGAAGUCGUAACAAGGUAGCCGUACCGGAAGGUGCGGCUGGAUCACCU
rnacentral:rRNA from 1 species